rnacentral:rRNA from 2 species
CGAAGGUGGCGCUGCUAUACAUGCAAGUCGAGCGGAGAUCUUGGAGCUUGCUCCAGGAUCUUAGCGGCGGACGGGUGAGUAACACGUGGGCAACCUGCCCUGCAGAUCGGGAUAACUCCGGGAAACCGGUGCUAAUACCGAAUAGUUUGCGGCCUCUCAUGAGGCCACACGGAAAGACGGUUUCGGCUGUCACUGCAGGAUGGGCCCGCGGCGCAUUAGCUAGUUGGUGGGGUAACGGCCUACCAAGGCAACGAUGCGUAGCCAACCUGAGAGGGUGAUCGGCCACACGGGACUGAGACACGGCCCAGACUCCUACGGGAGGCAGCAGUAGGGAAUCUUCCGCAAUGGACGAAAGUCUGCGGAGCAACGCCCCGUGAGUGAAGAAGGUUUUCGGAUCGUAAAACUCUGUUGUGAGGGAAGAACAAGUACCAACUAACUACUGGUACCUUGACGGUACCUCACCAGAAAGCCACGGCUAACUACGUGCCAGCAGCCGCGGUAAUACGUAGGUGGCAAGCGUUGUCCGGAAUUAUUGGGCGUAAAGCGCGCGCAGGCGGUCCUUUAAGUCUGAUGUGAAAGCCCACGGCUCAACCGUGGAGGGUCAUUGGAAACUGGGGGACUUGAGUGCAGAAGAGGAAAGUGGAAUUCCACGUGUAGCGGUGAAAUGCGUAGAGAUGUGGAGGAACACCAGUGGCGAAGGCGACUUUCUGGUCUGUAACUGACGCUCAGGCGCGAAAGCGUGGGGAGCAAACAGGAUUAGAUACCCUGGUAGUCCACGCCGUAAACGAUGAGUGCUAAGUGUUAGGGGGUUUCCGCCCCUUAGUGCUGCAGCUAACGCAUUAAGCACUCCGCCUGGGGAGUACGGCCGCAAGGCUGAAACUCAAAGGAAUUGACGGGGGCCCGCACAAGCGGUGGAACAUGUGGUUUAAUUCGAAGCAACGCGGAGAACCUUACCAGGUCUUGACAUCCCGCUGACCGCCUUGGAAACAAGGCUUUCCCUUCGGGGACAGCGAUGACGGGUGGUGCAUGGUUGUCGUCAGCUCCGGUCUUGAAAUGUUGGGUUAAGUCCUCCACCGACCGCAACCUUUGAUCUUAAUUGCCAGCAUUCAUUUUGGGCACCUUUAGGGUUACUCGCCGGUGACGAACCCGGAGGAAAUGGAGGGAAGGACGGCCGAACCACCUUCGCCCUUUA